rnacentral:rRNA from 1 species
UACGAAGGGGCUAGCGUUGCUCGGAAUCACUGGGCGUAAAGGGCUCGUAGGCGGCCAACUAAGUCAGACGUGAAAUCCCUCGGCUUAACCGGGGAACUGCGUCUGAUACUGGAUGGCUUGAGUUUGGGAGAGGGAUGCGGAAUUCCAGGUGUAGCGGUGAAAUGCGUAGAUAUCUGGAGGAACACCGGUGGCGAAGGCGGCAUCCUGGACCAACACUGACGCUGACGGAGCGAAAGCCAGGGGAGCAAAGCGGG